AAAAAGACAAAUCAUAGGUUUUCGUGUCUAACUUUGACUGUCUGUCUUAUAUGAUAUUUUUUUAUAAUUCGUAUUUUCAUUAUUGUUAGAUGAUAAAACAUGAUUAAUAUUUCAUGCGUAACUUGUCUUUUUAAUUUUUUUCAUAUUUUUUUUAAAUAAGACGGACGGUCAAACGUUGGGCACGGAAAUCAGGGUUUGUCUUUUU
rfam:Oryza sativa Japonica Group DNA, chromosome 5, cultivar: Nipponbare, complete sequence.